AAACCGUUUAGGGGUAAACCUGAGAAACCCGAAAGGUCGAAGGAAGAAAUUCAUUCGUGCCCGAUAAGGUUAUUGUGCAGUAUGUGUUGUCGGGGAGUGAAUUCGUUCAUUUUUCGCCGUAUUGUAUGAUAUGUGUACCUUGUUGGACGCGUGCACUUUUCUUCUGGUAGGACGUUGCGAUCUGUUGAGUGUUGAUCUACGGUUUGGGUGGUAGUCCAAUCAUGCUAAGCCUCGUGCUCAGCAUGAUUGGACCCCUGUUACCUGGUCAACUGGCUCGACAGUAUAAAUAGAUGAUUUUAGGCCGCUUUACGGAGCGUUCGGCUUGUGGCAAGCACGUUAAAUGUAUUGGUACAUCGGACCUAGUGCCGUGUCCGAUCCUUAGCGUCUGUUGGCUACUCUGUCUCGAACAGACCUUUCAAAAUCAAUCUGCAACGAUAUAGCUUUGGGUAAUUUCAGGACCCGUCUUGAAACACGGACCAAGGAGUCUAGCAUGUACGCAAGUCAUUGGGAAUCACAAAACCUAAAGGCGUAAUGAAAGUAAACGUUUAUCUUUACGGUGAACGAUGGGAAGACGGGCGUUUUAACUUUAAUUAGUUGGCGUCCAGCAUUCCUGGGGCGUCUCAUUUUCAUUAUGAAAAGAGGCGCACCAUGAGCGUACACGCUGGGACCCGAAAGAUGGUGAACUAUGCCUGGU
rnacentral:rRNA from 1 species